rnacentral:rRNA from 1 species
UACAGAGGGGGCAAGCGUUAUUCGGAAUUACUGGGCGUAAAGCGCACGUAGGCGGAUUGUUAAGUCAGAGGUGAAAUCCCGGAGCUCAACUUCGGAACUGCCUUUGAUACUGGCAAUCUAGAGUCCGGAAGAGGUUAGUGGAAUUCCCAGUGUAGAGGUGAAAUUCGUAGAUAUUGGGAAGAACACCAGUGGCGAAGGCGGCUAACUGGUCCGGUACUGACGCUGAGGUGCGAAAGCGUGGGGAGCAAACAGG